GUACGGAGCCGAAGGGAAACCGAGUCUGAAUAGGGCGACUAGUUGCAUGCCGUAGACCCGAAACCGGGUGACCUAUCCAUGGCCAGGUUGAAGCGAGGGUAAAACCUCGUGGAGGACCGAACCACGUUGCUGUUGAAAAAGCAUGGGAUGAGCUGUGGAUAGCGGAGAAAUUCCAAUCGAACCCGGAGAUAGCUGGUUCUCUCCGAAAUAGCUUUAGGGCUAGCGUCGAGUAUGAGUAGUGGAGGUAGAGCACUGAAUGGGCUAGGGGGCAUAGCGCUUACCGAACCUUAUCAAACUCCGAAUGCCACAUACUUUGAGCUCGGCAGUCAGACUACGAAUGAUAAGAUCCGUGGUCAAAAGGGAAACAGCCCAGAUCGUCAGCUAAGGUCCCAAAGUGUAAGUUAAGUGGGAAAGGAUGUGAGAUUUCUAAGACAACUAGGAUGUUGGCUUAGAAGCAGCCAUUCAUUAAAAGAGUGCGUAAUAGCUCACUAGUCGAGAGAUCUUGCGCCGAAAAUGUAACGGGGCUAAACUUACCACCGAAGCUACGGGCUUGAACUUAGUUCAAGCGGUAGGAGAGCGUCGUAACCGGGCUGAAGUCGUACCGUAAGGAGCGGUGGACUGGUUACGAGUGAGAAUGUUGGCAUCAGUAGCGAGAUGUGGGUGAGAAUCCCACAGGCCGAAAACCUAAGGUUUCCUCAGGAAGGUUCGUCCGCUGAGGGUUAGUCGGGACCUAAGCCGAGGCCGAAAGGCGUAGGUGAUGGACAACUGGUUGAUAUUCCAGUACCACUACCAUCGUUAUUAUCGAUGGCGUGACGCAGGAGGAUAGUGUGUGCUAGCUAUUGGAUGCUAGUCUAAGCGUUUAGGCAGUGAGAGUAGGCAAAUCCGCUCUCAUAAUGCUGAGGCGUGAUGGGGAAGGUUCUACGGAACUGAAGUACAUGAUUCCACGCUGCCAAGAAAAGCGUCUAGAGAGAGAAGUAGUGCCCGUACCGCAAACCGACACAGGUAGGUGAGGAGAGAAUCCUAAGGCCGGCGGAAGAAUUACAGUUAAGGAACUCGGCAAAUUGACCCCGUAAGUUCGCGAGAAGGGGUGCCUACGAGAGUAGGCCGCAGAGAAUAGGCCCAAGCAACUGUUUA
rnacentral:rRNA from 1 species